rnacentral:tRNA from 1 species
GGCCGAAUGGCGCAAUGGUAGCGCGUUGGUUUUCGGCACCAAAGGUUGCGCGUUCGAAUCGCGUUUCGGUCG